AUUGAACGCUGGCGGCAGGCCUAACACAUGCCAGUCGAACGGUAACAGGAAGAAGCUUGCUUCUUUGCUGACGAGUGGCGGACGGGUGAGUAAUGUCUGGGAAACUGCCUGAUGGAGGGGGAUAACUACUGGAAGCGGUAGCUAAUACCGCAUAAUGUCGCAAGACCAAAGAGGGGGACCUUCGGGCCUCUUGCCAUCGGAUGUGCCCAGAUGGGAUUAGCUAGUAGGUGGGGUAACGGCUCACCUAGGCGACGAUCCCUAGCUGGUCUGAGAGGAUGACCAGCCACACUGGAACUGAGACACGGUCCAGACUCCUACGGGAGGCAGCAGUGGGGAAUAUUGCACAAUGGGCGCAAGCCUGAUGCAGCUAUGCCGCGUGUAUGAAGAAGGCCUUCGGGUUGUAAAGUACUUUCAGCGGGGAGGAAGGGAGUAAAGUUAAUACCUUUGCUCAUUGACGUUACCCGCAGAAGAAGCACCGGCUAACUCCGUG
rnacentral:rRNA from 1 species